rnacentral:rRNA from 1 species
AUGACGGCCCUAUGGGUUGUAAACUGCUUUUAUACGGGAAGAAAUGCGCCCACGUGUGGGCGUCUGACGGUACCGUAAGAAUAAGGACCGGCUAACUCCGUGCCAGCAGCCGCGGUAAUACGGAGGGUCCGAGCGUUAUCCGGAAUCAUUGGGUUUAAAGGGUCCGUAGGCGGGCCUGUAAGUCAGGGGUGAAAGUUUGUGGCUCAACCAUAAAAUUGCCUUUGAUACUGCAGGUCUUGAGUCAUGGUGGGGUCGCCGGAACAUGUGGUGUAGCGGUGAAAUGCAUAGAUAUCACAUAGAACACCGAUCGCGAAGGCAGGUGGCCAACCAUGUACUGACGCUGAUGGACGAAAGCGUGGGUAGCGAACGGGAUUAGAUACCCCGGUAGUCCACGCCGUAAACGAUGGAUACUAGCUGUGGGGACUUCGGUCUCCGUGGCCAAGCGAAAGUGAUAAGUAUCCCACCUGGGGAGUACGUUCGCAAGAA